rnacentral:rRNA from 1 species
AGAACGAACGCUGGCGGCAUGCCUAACACAUGCAAGUCGAACGAGACCUUCGGGUCUAGUGGCGCACGGGUGCGUAACGCGUGGGAAUCUGCCCUUGGGUUCGGAAUAACAGCGAGAAAUUGCUGCUAAUACCGGAUGAUGACGUAAGUCCAAAGAUUUAUCGCCCAAGGAUGAGCCCGCGUAGGAUUAGCUUGUUGGUGAGGUAAGAGCUCACCAAGGCGACGAUCCUUAGCUGGUCUGAGAGGAUGAUCAGCCACACUGGGACUGAGACACGGCCCAGACUCCUACGGGAGGCAGCAGUGGGGAAUAUUGGACAAUGGGCGAAAGCCUGAUCCA